rnacentral:rRNA from 1 species
UCGGGAAUUUUGGGCAAUGGGGGAAACCCUGACCCAGCAACGCCGCGUGAAGGAUGAAGUAUUUCGGUAUGUAAACUUCGAAAGAAUAGGAAGAAUAAAUGACGGUACUAUUUAUAAGGUCCGGCUAACUACGUGCCAGCAGCCGCGGUAAUACGUAGGGACCAAGCGUUGUUCGGAUUUACUGGGCGUAAAGGGCGCGUAGGCGGCAUGACAAGUCACUUGUGAAAUCUCUGGGCUUAACCCAGAACGGCCAAGUGAUACUGUCGCGCUAGAGUGCAGAAGGGGCAAUCGGAAUUCUUGGUGUAGCGGUGAAAUGCGUAGAUAUCAAGAGGAACACCUGAGGUGAAGACGGGUUGCUGGGCUGACACUGACGCUGAGGCGCGAAAGCCAGGGGAGCAAAACGUGAUUAGAUACCCGAGUAGUCCCUGAGCGGGCUGGCAAGGCGCAU